GCUCUCGUAGCUCAGAUGGAUAGAGCGCUUGCCUCCGAAGCAAGAGGUCAUGGGUUCGAAUCCCGUCGAGAGUA
rnacentral:tRNA from 1 species